UACGAAGGGGGCUAGCGUUGUUCGGAAUUACUGGGCGUAAAGCGCACGUAGGCGGACUAUUAAGUCAGGGGUGAAAUCCCGGAGCUCAACUCCGGAACUGCCUUUGAUACUGGUAGUCUAGAGACCGAGAGAGGUAAGUGGAACUCCUAGUGUAGAGGUGGAAUUCGUAGAUAUUAGGAAGAACACCAGUGGCGAAGGCGGCUUACUGGCUCGGAACUGACGCUGAGGUGCGAAAGCGUGGGGAGCAAACAGGAUUAGAUACCCCCGUAGUCC
rnacentral:rRNA from 1 species